AAGGAGUUAGUUAAAAAAUAACCUUAGUAUGUCAAACUAAAAUCACUAGAAGCCUAGUACUUCUUA
rnacentral:tRNA from 1 species